rnacentral:rRNA from 1 species
UGAUCUAGCCAUGGGCAGGUUGAAGGUUGGGUAACACUAACUGGAGGACCGAACCGACUAAUGUUGAAAAAUUAGCGGAUGACCUGUGGCUGGGGGUGAAAGGCCAAUCAAACCGGGAGAUAGCUGGUUCUCCCCGAAAGCUAUUUAGGUAGCGCCUCGUGAAUUCAUCUCCGGGGGUAGAGCACUGUUUCGGCUAGGGGGCCAUCCCGGCUUACCAACCCGAUGCAAACUGCGAAUACCGGAGAAUGUUAUCACGGGAGACACACGGCGGGUGCUAACGUCCGUCGUGAAGAGGGAAACAACCCAGACCGCCAGCUAAGGUCCCAAAGUCAUGGUUAAGUGGGAAACGAUGUGGGAAGGCCCAGACAGCCAGGAUGUUGGCUUAGAAGCAGCCAUCAUUUAAAGAAAGCGUAAUAGCUCACUGGUCGAGUCGGCCUGCGCGGAAGAUGUAACGGGGCUAAACCAUGCACCGAAGCUGCGGCAGCGACGCUGAUGCGUUGUUGGGUAGGGGAGCGUUCUGUAAGCCUGCGAAGGUGGCCUGUGAGGGUUGCUGGAGGUAUCAGAAGUGCGAAUGCUGACAUAAGUAACGAUAAAGCGGGUGAAAAGCCCGCUCGCCGGAAGACCAAGGGUUCCUGUCCAACGUUAAUCGGGGCAGGGUGAGUCGACCCCUAAGGCGAGGCCGAAAGGCGUAGUCGAUGGGAAACGGGUUAAUAUUCCCGUACUUGGUGUUACUGCGAAGGGGGGACGGAGAAGGCUAUGUUGGCCGGGCGACGGUUGUCCCGGUUUAAGCGUGUAGGUGUGUGUUCCAGGUAAAUCCGGUUCACUUUAACACUGAGGCGUGACGACGAGGCACUACGGUGCUGAAGCAACAAAUGCCCUGCUUCCAGGAAAAGCCUCUAAGCAUCAGGUAACAUCAAAUCGUACCCCAAACCGACACAGGUGGUCAGGUAGAGAAUACCAAGGCGCUUGAGAGAACUCGGGUGAAGGAACUAGGCAAAAUGGUGCCGUAACU